CCAAUAGCGUAUAUUAAAGUUGUUGCAGUUAAAAAGCUCGUAGUUGAAUUUCGGGAUUGACGUGAUGGUCAUGCCUUAAGGGGUAUGAACUGUUGCUGUUGAUUUCUCACCUUCUGGAGAAACUUGAUGUCCUUUAUUGGGUGUCUUGCGGAUCCAGGACCUUUACCUUGAAAAAAUUAGAGUGUUUAAAGCAGGCAUUUUUGCUCGAAUACAUUAGCAUGGAAUAAUAGAAUAGGACGGCAUGGUUCUAUUUUGUUGGUUUCUAGGAUCACCGUAAUGAUUAAUAGGGAUAGUUGGGGGCAGUAGUAUUCAAUUGUCAGAGGUGAAAUUCUUGGAUUUAUUGAAGACUAACUACUGCGAAAGCAUUUGCCAAGGAUGUUUUCAUUAAUCAAGAACGAAAGUUAGGGGAUCGAAGACGAUCAGAUACCGUCGUAGUCUUAACCAUAAACUAUGCCGACUAGGAAUCAGACGAUGUUAAUUUUUUAAUGACUCGUUUGGCACCUUACG
rnacentral:misc_RNA from 1 species